AACUGUUGAAACUGUCAUCUUCUUUGCUCAUUUAGAAGUAUUUCAUAGACGAAGAUUUAACCUCAUGGCCAACGAAAAUCAAGAAGAAGCCAUGGGAAGGUGGAGAAACCGAAGUUCCGAGUGGAUCUUUAUCUUUACAGAUUUAAAAACAUUUCAAAAUGGCGCCAGAGCCACUGGAUAUCUCUGAGCAUGAGUUGCUCUUCAAAGCAACCAAUUUAUCCAAACUGGCCUCCAUAGAUUUGUCUCAGGUGGACAGGUCAAGAGUUGAAAUAUUUGCCGAGUAUUGUGCUAAGAAGCGAGAACCUGAUGCGGUCAGUUUUUGA
rnacentral:lncRNA from 1 species